UUAUCAGAUAAAAGCUACUCAAGGGAUAACAGGCUUAAUAAAUUGGAUAGCUCACAUUAACAAAAUGGUAAAGCACCUCGAUGUCGGCUUAUCUUUCGUGUUCACAAGGCAGCGACCCAUACAAGUAAGAUAUUCGUGGGAGUGCUCAUCCCUUAAGAAGGUACGUGAGCUGGGUUCAGAACGAUGUAAAUCAGUUUGGUCUAUAUCUGUAACACAUUAAUCAAAUGCUAGUUUUCUUUGCUCAGUACGAAAGGACCUG
rnacentral:rRNA from 1 species